GGUGGCUUAGUGGUAGAGCACUUGCCUUGCAUGCAUGACGCCCUGGGUUCGAUUCCCCAGUACCA
rnacentral:tRNA from 1 species